AUUUUCACAAGCACGGCAAGUGGCUCUGAUCACACUAAAGUUCCAGAAUUUACUCAAGAUUUCAAGAUGUUCACGCAGAGUCUGUCGAGCUCACCUCUGGAUACCCCAGCUCCUACACGAAGCAAAUGUUUCUUUUUUUAUUUUUUGAGACAGUCUCACUGUGUUGCCCAUGCUGGAGUGCAGUGUCCCAAUCUUGGCUCACUGCAGCCUCCGCCUCCCGGGUUCAAGUGAUUCUCCUGCCUCAGCCUUCUGAGUAGCUGGGACUUCAGGUGUGUGCCACCACACCUGGUUAAAUUUUGUAUUUUUAGUAGAGACGAGGUUUCACCAUGUUGGCCAGGCUGGUCUGGAACUCCUGACCUCAGGUGACCCACCUGCCUUGACCUCCCAAAGUGCUGGGAUUACAGGUGUGAGCCAUUACGCCUGGCCCUGAUGUUUCUUUCUUUUUUUCUUUUUUUUUGAGAUGGAGUCUUACUCUGUCGCCCAGGCUGGG
rnacentral:lncRNA from 10 species